ACCAGACUCCUACGGGAGGCAGCAGUGGGGAAUAUUGCACAAUGGGGGAAACCCUGAUGCAGCGACGCCGCGUGGAGGAAGAAGGUCUUCGGAUUGUAAACUCCUGUCCUUGGGGACGAUAAUGACGGUACCCAAGGAGGAAGCACCGGCUAACUACGUGCCAGCAGCCGCGGUAAUACGUAGGGGGCAAGCGUUAUCCGGAUUUACUGGGUGUAAAGGGAGCGUAGACGGCAGCGCAAGUCUGGAGUGAAAUGCCGGGGCCCAACCCCGGAACUGCUUUGGAAACUGUGCAGCUCGAGUGCAGGAGAGGUAAGCGGAAUUCCUAGUGUAGCGGUGAAAUGCGUAGAUAUUAGGAGGAACACCAGUGGCGAAGGCGGCUUACUGGACUGUAACUGACGUUGAGGCUCGAAAGCGUGGGGAGCAAACAGGAUUAGAUACCCCAGUA
rnacentral:rRNA from 1 species